rnacentral:rRNA from 1 species
GAUUUCUGACGAAACUGCUAGCUGGCCCGUCACGUCAGUGAUGUGUGCCGGCUUGGCGUUUGUCAUCCGUUCGAAUGAUAUGCGCGCUGCCCUUCACUGGGUUGGUGCUGCAUGUUUUCGAUCUUUUACUUUGAAAAAAUUAGAGUGUUUUAAGCAGGCAUGUUUGCUAUGAAUACAUUAGCAUGGAAUAAUAAUCUAGGACUUUCGGUUCUAUUUUGUUGGUGUUCUGGAGCUGAAGUAAUGAUUGAUAGGGAUAGUUGGGGGUGCUAGUAUUCAAUGGCCAGAGGUGAAAUUCUCGGAUUCCUUGAAGACUAACUUAUGCGAAAGCAUUCACCAAGGAUGUCUUCUUUAAUCAAGAACGAAAGUUGGGGGAUCGAAGACGAUCAGAUACCGUCGUAGUCUCAACUAUAAAUUCUACCGACUAGAGAUUAGUGGAUGUUGUCUUUUUGUAACGACUUCAUUGGCAUCUAUACGAGAAAUCAAAGUCUUUGGGUUCCGGGGGGAGUAUGGUCGCAAGGCUGAAACUUAAAGG